UACGUAGGCAGCAAGCGUUGUUCGGAAUUACUGGGCGUAAAGAGUGUGUAGGCGGUGCUCUAAGUUCGGUGUGAAAUCUCUUGGCUUAACUGGGAGGGUGCGCCGGAAACUGGAGUGCUCGAGCGUGGGAGAGGAAAGCGGAAUUCCUGGUGUAGCGGUGAAAUGCGUAGAUAUCAGGAGGAACACCUGUGGUGUAGACAGCUUUCUGGACCAUAGCUGACGCUGAGACACGAAAGCGUGGGUAGCAAACAGG
rnacentral:rRNA from 1 species